rnacentral:rRNA from 1 species
GAUGAACGCUGGCGGCGUGCCUAAUACAUGCAAGUCGAGCGAACAGAUGAGGAGCUUGCUCCUCUGACGUUAGCGGCGGACGGGUGAGUAACACGUGGAUAACCUACCUAUAAGACUGGGAUAACUUCGGGAAACCGGAGCUAAUACCGGAUAAUAUAUUGAACCGCAUGGUUCAAUAGUGAAAGACGGUUUUGCUGUCACUUAUAGAUGGAUCCGCGCCGCAUUAGCUAGUUGGUAAGGUAACGGCUUACCAAGGCAACGAUGCGUAGCCGACCUGAGAGGGUGAUCGGCCACCCUGGAACUGGGACACGGUCCAGACUCCUACGGGAGGCAGCAGUAGGGAAUCUUCCGCAAUGGGCGCAGGCCUGACGGAGCAACGCCGCGUGAGUGAUGAAGGUCUUCGGAUCGUAAAACUCUGUUAUUAGGGAAGAACAAAUGUGUAAGUAACUAUGCACGUCUUGACGGUACCUAAUCAGAAAGCCACGGCUAACUACGUG